rnacentral:rRNA from 1 species
AACGAACGCUGGCGGCGUGCCUAACACAUGCAAGUCGAACGAGAAAAUUUCCUUCGGGGAAUGAGUAAAGUGGCGCAAGGGUGAGUAACACGUGAAUAAUCUGCCUUCGAGACCGGGAUAACUUGACGAAAGUUGAGCUAAUACCGGAUAAGACCACGCUUCAUAAGGAGUGCGGCAAAAGGGAUCUCAAAUCCUGCUUGAAGAUGAGUUCGCGUACCAUUAGCUUGUUGGUGAGAUAACAGCUCACCAAGGCGACGAUGGUUAGCCGGCCUGAGAGGGUGAUCGGCCACACUGGAACUGAGACACGGUCCAG